rnacentral:sRNA from 1 species
GUGAUCAAAGGAUCGGAUAUUUAUCUUUGCGUCGGAAAAUAAUGGUAUGGUGGUUUGCAAAUAAGAUGACCUCUUUGGAAAAAUACAAUGUGUAUGUCUUGGAUCUGUGGGUAGUAUUGGAUCGAUACUGUGUA